GGUUAAGCGACUAAGCGUACACGGUGGAUGCCCUGGCAGUCAGAGGCGAUGAAGGACGUGCUAAUCUGCGAUAAGCGUCGGUAAGGUGAUAUGAACCGUUAUAACCGGCGAUUUCCGAAUGGGGAAACCCAGUGUGAUUCGUCACACUAUCAUUAACUGAAUCCAUAGGUUAAUGAGGCGAACCGGGGGAACUGAAACAUCUAAGUACCCCGAGGAAAAGAAAUCAACCGAGAUUCCCCCAGUAGCGGCGAGCGAACGGGGAGCAGCCCAGAGCCUGAAUCAGUGUGUGUGUUAGUGGAAGCGUCUGGAAAGGCGUGCGAUACAGGGUGACAGCCCCGUACACAAAAAUGCACAUACUGUGAGCUCGAUGAGUAGGGCGGGACACGUGGUAUCCUGUCUGAAUAUGGGGGGACCAUCCUCCAAGGCUAAAUACUCCUGACUGACCGAUAGUGAACCAGUACCGUGAGGGAAAGGCGAAAAGAACCCCGGCGAGGGGAGUGAAAAAGAACCUGAAACCGUGUACGUACAAGCAGUGGGAGCACGCUUAGGCGUGUGACUGCGUACCUUUUGUAUAAUGGGUCAGCGACUUAUAUUCUGUAGCAAGGUUAACCGAAUAGGGGAGCCGAAGGGAAACCGAGUCUUAACUGGGCGUUAAGUUGCAGGGUAUAGACCCGAAACCCGGUGAUCUAGCCAUGGGCAGGUUGAAGGUUGGGUAACACUAACUGGAGGACCGAACCGACUAAUGUUGAAAAAUUAGCGGAUGACUUGUGGCUGGGGGUGAAAGGCCAAUCAAACCGGGAGAUAGCUGGUUCUCCCCGAAAGCUAUUUAGGUAGCGCCUCGUGAAUUCAUCUCCGGGGGUAGAGCACUGUUUCGGCAAGGGGGUCAUCCCGACUUACCAACCCGAUGCAAACUGCGAAUACCGGAGAAUGUUAUCACGGGAGACACACGGCGGGUGCUAACGUCCGUCGUGAAGAGGGAAACAACCCAGACCGCCAGCUAAGGUCCCAAAGUCAUGGUUAAGUGGGAAACGAUGUGGGAAGGCCCAGACAGCCAGGAUGUUGGCUUAGAAGCAGCCAUCAUUUAAAGAAAGCGUAAUAGCUCACUGGUCGAGUCGGCCUGCGCGGAAGAUGUAACGGGGCUAAACCAUGCACCGAAGCUGCGGCAGCGACGCUUAUGCGUUGUUGGGUAGGGGAGCGUUCUGUAAGCCUGUGAAGGUGUGCUGUGAGGUAUGCUGGAGGUAUCAGAAGUGCGAAUGCUGACAUAAGUAACGAUAAAGCGGGUGAAAAGCCCGCUCGCCGGAAGACCAAGGGUUCCUGUCCAACGUUAAUCGGGGCAGGGUGAGUCGACCCCUAAGGCGAGGCCGAAAGGCGUAGUCGAUGGGAAACAGGUUAAUAUUCCUGUACUUGGUGUUACUGCGAAGGGGGGACGGAGAAGGCUAUGUUGGCCGGGCGACGGUUGUCCCGGUUUAAGCGUGUAGGCUGGUUUUCCAGGCAAAUCCGGAAAAUCAAGGCCGAGGCGUGAUGACGAGGCACUACGGUGCUGAAGCAACAAAUGCCCUGCUUCCAGGAAAAGCCUCUAAGCAUCAGGUAACAUCAAAUC
rnacentral:rRNA from 1 species